UGAACGAACCUCUGGUGUUCGGGUUGUCACGCCAGUGGCACUGCCCGGUAGCUAAGUUCGGAAUCGAUAACCGCUGAAAGCAUCUAAGCGGGAAGCGAGCCCUGAGAUGAGUCAUCCCUGACCCCUUGAGGGUCCUAAAGGGCCGUUGGAGACCACAACGUUGAUAGGUGGGGUGUGUAAGUGCAGCGAUGCAUUGAGCUAACCCAUACUAAUUACCCGUGAGGCUUAACCAUACAACACCCAAGAAGUGUUCU
rnacentral:rRNA from 1 species